rnacentral:rRNA from 1 species
GACAGAGGGGGCAAGCGUUGCUCGGAAUUACUGGGCGUAAAGGGCGCGUAGGCGGUCCUGUAAGUCCUGUGUGAAAUCCCUCGGCUCAACCGAGGAACUGUACAGGAAACUGCGGGACUUGAGUUCGGGAGAGGGAAGCGGAAUUCCGGGUGUAGCGGUGAAAUGCGUAGAUAUCCGGAGGAACACCGGUGGCGAAGGCGGCUUCCUGGACCGACACUGACGCUGAGGCGCGAAAGCCAGGGGAGCAAACGGG